rnacentral:lncRNA from 1 species
CAUCUUGGACCGCUGUUUCCAGCGCAAAUCAACCAUCAAAAAGGGUUUGUUUUUUAAGAAGUAAGCACCAUGUCAACUGGUUCAGAAAUUGGAAGACGUGGUGGAGGCACAGCUGACAUACCUUAAAUCGACAUGCAUGAAGUCUUUUGCUAACGAUCAGAAGCAUAUGAUAUAAGCGAUGGGCGGCGGCCUGCGUCACUAAAGCAUCAACCAGGUGACUUCUAGUUAGAGAUGGAAAUAACAAAUCCAAUUAGGUCUUUGACAUAUAUGCAGAUGAACAACUUUGAUUUAAGGCUUCACAAUCGAUUAAUACCCCUCAUGUGAACACCGGCCAAUUAAUUGGACCAAAAAAUAAGUUGCUUGCUUCAAUUGGAGCAUAUAUUCAGCAACAUGCAAAGACUACACAUUCAGCUGACCAUAUACUCCGGGAGGAAGGUGAAGAGGCGGUGGGGAAAUCUAAGGCAGUUGCUUCUCAAGAAGAAAGAAAGAGGAGGAAAAGAAAGACUACCAAAAAAUACACAAGAAAAGAAAGUGACUCACCUUAAGAAAGGUUAAUUGAGGCGGCAAACAACUUUGGGAGAAACGCCGGCAGAAAAGCAAUUACGUAAACCGACCUUUGAAGUCCAUUGCGUCAGCCAGAUGCAAGGAUGACCGGAAACAAGCAGGCAGAUUGGUGAUGCAGGCAGCCAAGCAGCUAAUGGAAGGAUGGUGCAGAACAUAGCGUAAGAUAAAAUUGGC